UUUUGUUUACAUUUGUCAUGUUGGGAUCUUUUAAAACGGACUAGGCGGUUUGUGUUUUACUCAUUGUUGAAGUCAAGACGAUACAUGCUUACAUUAUAUUCAUUUGCACUUUGAUGGAUAUUUAUCUCGUUGGCAAACAUAGUACAUUUUCCUAUUUGAUGUUUAAAUAUUAGCGAAAUAAAAGUCGACCAUUUAGCGCCCUAUUGGCAGGAGGCGGGUCCUUGUGCUAGGGAUGGU
rnacentral:lncRNA from 1 species